rnacentral:rRNA from 1 species
UACGUAGGGUGCGAGCGUUGUCCGGAAUUAUUGGGCGUAAAGAGCUUGUAGGCGGUCUGUCGCGCCUGCUGUGAAAAUCCGGGGCUCAACCCCGGACUUGCAGUGGGUACGGGCAGACUAGAGUGUGGUAGGGGAGACUGGAAUUCCUGGUGUAGCGGUGAAAUGCGCAGAUAUCAGGAGGAACACCGAUGGCGAAGGCAGGUCUCUGGGCCAUUACUGACACUGAGAAGCGAAAGCAUGGGGAGCGAACAGG